GUGGGGAAUUUUGGACAAUGGGCGCAAGCCUGAUCCAGCCAUUCCGCGUGCAGGAUGAAGGCCUUCGGGUUGUAAACUGCUUUUGUACGGAACGAAAAGGUUCUCUCUAAUACAGGGGGCUGAUGACGGUACCGUAAGAAUAAGCACCGGCUAACUACGUGCCAGCAGCCGCGGUAAUACGUAGGGUGCAAGCGUUAAUCGGAAUUACUGGGCGUAAAGCGUGCGCAGGCGGUGAUGUAAGACAGAUGUGAAAUCCCCGGGCUCAACCUGGGAACUGCAUUUGUGACUGCAAGGCUGGAGUGCGGCAGAGGGGGAUGGAAUUCCGCGUGUAGCAGUGAAAUGCGUAGAUAUGCGGAGGAACACCGAUGGCGAAGGCAAUCCCCUGGGCCUGCACUGACGCUCAUGCACGAAAGCGUGGGGAGCAAACAGGAUUAGAUACCCCUGUAGUCC
rnacentral:rRNA from 1 species